UCUACUAAUAUGAAUUAUUAGCCUAUACUAAUAUGAAUUCCUAUACUAAUAUGAUUGAAAUUAGUUUGACUUGUAUAAUAAUUGUUCUCCCAGAUUGGACAUAAGUAGAUUGCAAGGCUAAUGGAAAGUAGAAAAGUUAACUCAUGAACAUAAAAGAGAUAUCGAUUUGAAAACAAAACAUUUAUUCAUUUACUUCCGCUGCAGAUUUCUUGACUGCUGAAUUUCAUGAGAAGGGAUUGUUCAGGGAGGGAUGUGGGACUGAAGACCUGGAGAGGAGGUGGUGCUACCGCUGUUCACAUCUGAGGGUGGUGGAGAUGGAGCCUUGGGGAGGAGCAGGUGCUGCCUUUUAAGUCUAUGAGAGUCGUUGAGCUGGAGGUCCAGGGAGGAGCCGGUGCUCCCACUGAUGUCUUAGGUUGUGGAGCUGAAGACAGUGAAGGAGCCAGUGUGGCUGUUCUGUGAGACUCGUGGAGCUGGAGAUCCAGGUGGGAGAGGUGUUUUAGCUCGGGGAGGAGCUGAUGUUCUACCUUGAGGGUCCUGCAGCUGCAGACCCGGGGAGGAGCUGAUGUUCUAGUUUGAGUGUCGUGCAGCUGCAGACCCGGGGAGGAGCUGAUGUUCUAGUUUGAGUGUCGUGCAGCUGCAGACCUGGGGAGGAGCUGAUGUUCUAGAUUGAGUGUCAUGCAGCUGCAGACCCGGGGAGGAGCUGAUGUUCUAGUUUGAGGGUCGUGCACCUGCAGACCCGGGGAGGAGCUGAUGUUCUAGAUUGAGGGUCGUGCACCUGCAGACCCGGGGAGGAGCUGAUGUUCUAGAUUGAGGGUCGUGCACCUGCAGACCCGGGGAGGAGCUGAUGUUCUAGUUUGAGGGUCGUGCACCUGCAGACCCGGGGAGGAGCUGAUGUUCUAGUUUGAGGGUCUCCCAGCUGCCGACCUGGAGAGGAGCUGAUGUUCUAAUUUGAGUGUCGUGCAGCUGAAGACUUGGGGAGGAGCUGAUGUUGUUCGCGUUGAGGGUCUUUCAGUUGGAGACUCAGGGAGGAGCUGAUGUUCUAGAAUUAGGGUCAUAGAACUGGAGACCUGGAGAGAAGGUAAUGUUCUAGUUUUAGGUUCUUGCAGCUGCAGACCCGGAGAGGAGCUGAUGUUCUAGUUUUAGGUUCUUGCAGCUGCAGACCCAGAGAGGAGCUGAUGUUCUAGAUUGAGGGUCAUGCAGCUGAAGACUCGGGGAGGAGCUGAUGUUCUAGUUUGAGGAUCUUGCAGCUGAAGACCUGUAGAGGAGCUGAUGUUCUAGAUUGAGGGUCUUGCAGUUGAGGACUUG
rnacentral:lncRNA from 1 species